rnacentral:rRNA from 1 species
GGGUGAUAAUGUUCUUGGGAAACUGCCUGAUGGUAGGGGAUAACUACUGGAAACGGUAGCUAAUACCGCAUAACGUCGCAUGACCAAAGAGGGGGACCUUCGGGCCUCUUGCCAUCGGAUGUGCCCAGAUGGGAUUAGCUAGUAGGUGGGGUAACGGCUCACCUAGGCGACGAUCCCUAGCUGGUCUGAGAGGAUGACCAGCCACACUGGAACUGAACACGGUCCAUACUCCUACGGGAGGCAUCAGUGGGGAAUAUUGCACAAUGGGCGCAAGCCUGAUGCAGCCAUGCCGCGUGUAUGAAGAAGGCCUUCGGGUUGUAAAGUACUUUCACCGGGGAGGAAGGCGAUAAGGUUAAUAACCUUGUCGAUUGACGUUACCCGCAAAGAAGACCGGCUAACUCCUUGCCAGCAGCCGCGGUAAUACGGAGGGUGCAAGCGUUAAUCGAAUUACUGGGCGUAAAGC